AGUGAACGCUGGCGGUAGGCCUAACACAUGCAAGUCGAACGGCAGCACAGGAGAGCUUGCUCUCUGGGUGGCGAGUGGCGGACGGGUGAGGAAUACAUCGGAAUCUACCUUUUCGUGGGGGAUAACGUAGGGAAACUUACGCUAAUACCGCAUACGACCUACGGGUGAAAGUGGGGGACCGCAAGGCCUCACGCGAUUGGAUGAGCCGAUGUCCGAUUAGCUAGUUGGCGGGGUAAUGGCCCACCAAGGCGACGAUCGGUAGCUGGUCUGAGAGGAUGAUCAGCCACACUGGAACUGAGACACGGUCCAGACUCCUACGGGAGGCAGCAGUGGGGAAUAUUGGACAAUGGGCGCAAGCCUGAUCCAGCCAUACCGCGUGGGUGAAGAAGGCCUUCGGGUUGUAAAGCCCUUUUGUUGGGAAAGAAAUCCUGUCGAUUAAUACUCGGUGGGGAUGACGGUACCCAGAGAAUAAGCACCGGCUAACUUCGUGCCAGCCGCCGCAGUAAUAC
rnacentral:rRNA from 1 species